GAUGAACGCUAGCGGCAGGCUUAACACAUGCAAGUCGAGGGGUAACAGAGAAUAGUUUGCUAUUUUGCUGACGACCGGCGCACGGGUGAGUAACGCGUAUACAAUUUGCCUUUUACAGGAGGAUAGCCCAGAGAAAUUUGGAUUAAUACUCCAUGGUAUUACGAGAUCGCAUGGUUUUGUAAUUAAAGUUUCGGCGGUAGAAGAUGAGUAUGCGUCCUAUUAGCUAGUUGGUAAGGUAACGGCUUACCAAGGCGACGAUAGGUAGGGGUCCUGAGAGGGAGAUCCCCACACUGGUACUGAGACACGGACCAGACUCCUACGGGAGGCAGCAGUGAGGAAUAUUGGUCAAUGGAGGCAACUCUGAACCAGCCAUGCCGCGUGCAGGAAGACUGCCCUAUGGGUUGUAAACUGCUUUUAUACAGGAAGAAACUUACCCACGUGUGGGUAACUGACGGUACUGUACGAAUAAGGACCGGCUAACUCCGUG
rnacentral:rRNA from 1 species